rnacentral:lncRNA from 1 species
GAUUCCCUCUGCUGGCUAUCUCGAAUAGCAAGCGAUUUUUGCAGCAACGCUGCUGCCGCUGGAACUGAACCUGAAGAACUCAAAUGCGGGCGGUGGAUUAUUUCUUAUCCCUCCUCCAUCUACCCCACACAAGAGCUGCUUUUUGUUCCUCUUUUUGCCAAGUUCCAAGGAUACAAUGAGAAGACCUGCCUUCUGCAAACCCGGAGGCAAGCCCUCAUCAGACACCAGGUCUGCUGCCACCAUGAUGUUGGACUGCUCAGCCUCCAGAACUGAGUCUUGAGACUUCUCUUCUUUUGGUGUGGAUUCCGGAACUCCUUUCUGAAGCAAGAGGCAAAUAUCUCUCAGCAGAGAAUGCCAAGACCAAUCACUUAACCAUGGCAAUCUUACUCAGCAUGGUAAUUCCCACCCUGAUGGUCCCAAGAUGGCUGCAGCAGUUUCAGCCAUGUUAUCCUAAUCCACCAACAUCUGGAGGUAUCUGUCUUUUCAAUCUCCAUCUAUUACAAAUGUAGGAUACUUUUACCAGAAGGUCCUCCUCUAGACUACUACUCAUGUUUCAUUGGACAAAUUUGGUCCCAUGGAAUUUCUUAAGUCAUUUACUGAUGAGGAAAGUGGAAUUAUCAUGACUGGAUUAGACUACCUAAGAUUCACCACUCCUGAGCCUGGAGAAAGAUAAUUUUCUCAGAGCAAACAACUGCAUAUGGCUGAAGAUAGGAAUGAACUAUAAAACAAAAUUGGAGUCCUCCAGGAAAGAAAGGGGGAAUUAAAGGGAAAUGAUUGUGUAGGCAAAACACAAUAGUCUCCAAUGCCAAAUAAACUUUGUUUUGUUACUCUCUCAUCUACUUUAUCACAUUUUUUUCCUUGUUACCCUUCUCACCUUAAUUCAUCACCAAUAAGCCUCUUUAAAUCAAAUUUUUGAUGGUCAUCCAUAAAUCUCCAAGAAAUUGAGUGAUAAUUAACAUUACAGUGAUAAUGAGCUUAAGGUCUUGUUUCUUCUUGAAAGCUGGGAGGGUAGGAGGGGAGUGAAUGGUAAGAAAUUACUUAGUGGGGGCAAUACUCAUUAUUUGGGUGAUGGGUUACCCUAUAAGUCCAGACUUUACCAUUAUACAAUAUAUCCAUGUAACAAAACUGCAUUUGCACCAUUUAAAUGUAUACAAAUUUUUAAAAAGAAAGCUCUAAAAGAUAUAAACAUCUUCAAGAUCUAUAGGAAUAAAGCAGUCAUGGGGGUGUGGCAGGCAAGAAAGGAUUUAAGGCCCAGUUCGCUCCUAUGACCUCCUCACUUUAUCUCCUAUCACACUACUCUGCACACUCUGUUAUGGCCACGUCGGCCUCUCUGCAGUUCCUCUAAGAGGCCAGCAUUCUCUCACCCUGGGGACUUUGUACUUUACUUCCCUGUGCCCACACCAAGCUUUCUUCAUAUAACCAUGUUACUUAAUUCCUCCCUUACUAUGAGUUUCUGCUCACGUGCCACCUUAUUAAAGAGGUUUGUCCUGACCAUCUUAUGUAACAUAGCAACUUUAUUUCAUUCUUUGUCCUAUUACCCCAGUUUAUAUAUGCUUAUGGCUCUUAUAACCACCUGACAUGGUAUGCAUUUAUUUAUUGUUCUUAUAAGUAAUUAUCCAUGAGACAAGUGUUUAUAUUUUGUUCACAGUUUGUUUCUCUGAGCCUAGUAUAGUGCCUGACACAUAUA